rnacentral:rRNA from 1 species
AUUGAACGCUGGCGGCAUGCCUUACACAUGCAAGUCGAACGGCAGCGGGCCCUUCGGGGUGCCGGCGAGUGGCGAACGGGUGAGUAAUGCAUCGGAACGUACCCGGGAGAGGGGGAUAACCGGCCGACAGGCUGGCUAAUACCGCAUGAACUCGGAAGAGCAAAGCGGGGGACCUUCGGUCCUCGCGCUCUCGGAGCGGCCGCUGUCCGAUUUGGCUAGUUGGUGGGGUAAAGGCCCACCAAGGCGACGAUCGGUAGCGGGUCUGAGAGGACGAUCCGCCACACUGGGACUGAGACACGGCCCAGACUCCUACGGGAGGCAGCAGUGGGGAAUCUUGGACAAUGGGCGCAAGCCUGAUCCAGCAAUGCCGCGUGGGUGAAGAAGGCCUUCGGGUUGUAAAGCCCUUUCGGCGGGGAAGAAAUCGGUCAGGCGAAUAGGCUGGCAGGAUGACGGUACCCGCAGAAGAAGCACCGGCUAACUACGUG